ACAUGAAUUCUCAUUAUUGUUGUGCAUAAUUAAAAACUGAACCCCAACAUUUAGAAUCAACUCUAAAUAUUCUUAGGGGGCGUUCGGUUUGCAAGAUUGUAUCCGAGAUUAAAUUUGUAGUGUGUUUGGUUCAUGAGAUUCAACCCCACAACUCAAUCCUAGAUGAAUAAUCAUGGGAUAAUUAAUCAUAGCUAACCCCCUAUGACUAAAAUAAUCUCACAACUCAAUCCUAGAUUGUAUCUUGCUAUUAUUUUAUCUUGAAAACCGAACACCACCUUAGUGAAACACGUUUACAAACAACAAAUAAUGAAAUAAUAUACCAGCCCUUUCAUAUAUUAUCAGUUACAAAAACUCACUAAAUUAUCAGUCUUUUCUUCUUCCACACAUUUUGGGCAUUAAUUUUCUCUACUUCUUCCAACUUCUUUCCCAUCUAUAAAUUUUCAUGAAUCUCUCUAAGUUCGUCGCAGUUCACCUUGCCAUUGUCCAUCGUGAGAAAACCGGAGACGAGAUAGAUGGAUUGGUACUUUUUACAUACCUUCAAGAUCAAUUAUUUUCUGGAUAUUGAAACGUUGGGUAGAAGGGAAGAAGAAAAGCUUUGAAACUCACUUGGAAGAGAAAAGAAGUCGAAGAAGAUGAAGAGACUAGAAAGGCGCCGCUCAUAUUUUAGGAGGAUACAAAUCAGUGGUGAAUGCUGGAGAUGAUGAUCUCAAUUUUGUGUUUGACGUCGGUCGAGAUAAUUGGGAAACGACAUCUCUCUUCUCGAUGCUGGCUUGGUCACUGCAGAUCCCUAACAUGGUUAGGAAGUCACAGUCGCAAGCGAGGAUGAUAAUCCAGGGUGUUUUCUCACCGCUGCAUAAAAAAUACAGUGGAAAGAGGAAGAGACAGAAGUAUAGAGACGUAGAGGCUGCCGAGCUGACGGGCGGUGCAUUCUCUUUCUCCGACGAGAGAUGAUCAGCGACGUCUAUGGGCAGAAAUGGGAUUUACAGAGAAAAUGAUGGAUGGGGCGAAGGUAGGGAGAGAGACAAAUGGAGGCGUAGUCCUGGAGUAUUAUUUAGCCUAAUAAAUAUGUAUCAUAUCAACUCUUGAUUUGUAAUGAACUUUUAAAAUAUUUCUAAUUUAUUGGUCCAAUUAUUUUA